AUCGCUUCUCGGCCUUUUGGCUAAGAUCAAGUGUAGUAUCUGCCGUUGUGAAUAUAAACCAGAUCAAGUUGACAGAAUGGUGUUACCAUUUUAUACACAUAAAAGCGUCAAAAACAAUUUGAAUUUGUUUUGAUUUAUUGGGUGACUUGACCUCCACUUUCUAGGCAUCAUUGACAGACUUGGUCAAACCCCAA
rnacentral:snRNA from 1 species